UGGAACUCCAAAUUUUUUCCGUAUUUUCUAAACGUUCUUUUUUUUUUGUAUUAUAAUAAUGCAGCGUUUUCUGACGUUCAUUAUUGGAGGCAUUUGCGGCUAUCUUAUUGCGAAACACCGCUAAGCCCCAGCUGCCUUCAAAGGAGUUCUAUUUGCUGCUCAAUUGACAUAAAUUUGGUUACCAAACCGCCUUAACGUUUCAUUUCUACGUUUCGGUUUUUUACUUUUCAACAUCUAAACAAGCAUGGACUUCUUUCGAUCGUAUAUUUAAGAAUCAUUGCACUAGUACAACGGGGGAAUAUUAAAUCAAGCAAAUCAAAUUUGUGGCCGCAUCGGAACCGUCAUAUUAAUAUUUCAACAAUUAUAACAUCUACUCCGCAUUUGACAAAAUGACACAUCUGCUAUCGUUUGGCGCUGGCGUAUUUCUUGGCUUGGCGUUGUGUCGCAGAUGUAACCCGUGAUCGAAAGGGAUUAUAAAAUUUCGAAAUCUGAAAUGUAGUUCCAUUUAUACGCCACGAAAGAAACUAAUUGCAAUUUGUUAAAGUAA
rnacentral:sRNA from 1 species